UCCUACUUUCCCAUCCCCAUCGUUCUCUCGCAGUCACCUGAGGGCCGACUCCCUUCGUAGUCUUUCUCUCUGUCUCUCUCGAUCUCCCUCACAGCGCCGUCCUCCCUACUCCUCCGCCCAGAAGCCUCCGCAUCCGGCGGCCACCCCUUCCUGCUCCUCCUCCAUAGGCCACCACCUUCACAUCUGGCGCCCUCCCCGCCGGAUGUUGCCCCUUGGCGCUCCUCCCCUUCUCUCUGGCGCCCCCCUCUCUCAGCCCGGUGUCCAGAUCUACUGGUCCGAGCACAAUCGCAUCAGGAAGUGGCAGCUCCGAGCACAGUUUAAUUUGAGUGUCCGAGAUGAGCCCGUAUUCCGGCCGCCAAAGUCUUGGUCAGGCCCUCUGCAGGCGACGAGCAGCCACAACAACGGCCACGUAUGCUUGUUUCUUCUCUUCCCUUCCUUUUGUGCAAAAUUGAGGAUCCCUAAUUUAGGCUAUUUGGUUAUACAUAUUCGAAACUGAUCUGAUAUAAUCCCAAGUGUAUGCAUGUAUGCUGCAGGAUGUGGGUUUAAUUUCUUUAAUAUGACUAUUACUGUUUUUACCAGAGCAAUACAUGUUGAAAAAUUUGUACUAUCAUACUUUCAGUAUCUAUAGAGACCUUUCUUAUAGGUGAAAUUAAUUAGGCAUGUGUAUCUACUGUCAGAUAAAAUAUGUUGCUACGCAGGUUUCAGUAUCUGUAGAGAUCUUUUGUAACACUGAAGUUACUAAUGUAUGCCUUAUUAAGUAUUAUCAUGGCAGAUGAUUGACCUUAAAUUAAAACCCACUUGCUUUACCUUGCAGAUGUGUGACCUUAAAUUUAGUAGUAUUCAGAACUUAGUAACCCACUUGUCGAAUGCAGAAAUAUGGUUGAAAUGGUUUGCCACUUGUUGAACUUAGUAACCCACUUAGGGCCUGUUUGGUUAUCAGGGAUUGGACACUGGGAACAAUUCCAACUUGAAAUGUUGUGCUAAUUUGUACUAACUUUGCUCACAGGAAAUGAUUCUGGGAGGAAUUAUGCCUAAGCGAAUGAUAUUAACCCUUUGGGCAGUAAUUGUUUACAGAUUUUAAAAUACAUCUCUGAGAGGAGUAGGAAAGAGCAAUGAUGGCAGGAAGAGGGUAGAUAUCCACAGGAUGCGGCAGUACAGGUUGCAGCUCGAAUAGAAACUUGGUGAUAUCUUGGUCAUAUUACUUUACAUGAGCGACACUGAACCAUCAUAUCCACUAUUUAAAUAUGAAAAUUAUUUGCAAAGUACUAGUUAUGCAAAGCCCACUUUGGCAUGGAGGAGAAAAUGUUUCUAGAUGUUUUAGGCAAUUGAAUUCCCCUACUACAGAGUGCUAGAGCACUGAACAAUAGGUACUGAAUAUUAAUUAUUAUUCAAAGUAAAAUAUAUGGAUGCAAUGUGCUGAAAUAGAUGUCCUGCACUGAUAAAGAUUUAGUGGUGAUUCACUAAAUGCUGUUAUGGAAGUAUUAAAUAUAAAUGACUUGUUGUGCAGCGUGCAUUUGUACAUAUAUUUGGAAAUAGAUUGCAAGAUUGUCGUUGUGCUUCAUGAUUUCUAAUUCUUGCUAUUGAUUCUGUUUUUCUUAAACCUCAAUCAUUCAGAUAUGCAAGCAAGUGGCAGCACUGUUUUCAAACUUUAAGGUAUGAACAAAUUCAAGUGGACUAUGUGGCAGCAUUGCUCUUAGGCUCUAAAGGCAUGCACUGCUCAGUUUUGGAUGUUUUAUGAGGCUAUCUAUGGAUUGCGGCAAAAGGAUCAAGGCGCUCAUGGUGGCUAUUUUCAUUAGUCGUGAAAGAUUUUGUUGUGCGAGCAAAACAUCUGGGUUGUUGUUGUACAAGCCAACGUCUUAGUUUUCUAGAUACUUGAGUGUAGCUUGGUUAUUGCCUUAGUAUUUCGUGUGAAAUAUUGUACAAGUACAAAUGUUGAUGGUUUUAAUGAAAAUGAUGAGCAAUAUUUGUCAA